GACGAACGCUGGCGGCGUGCCUAACACAUGCAAGUCGAACGGUAAGGCCCUUCGGGGUGCACGAGUGGCGAACGGGUGAGUAACACGUGGGCGAUCUGCCCUGCACUUCGGGAUAAGCACGGGAAACAGGGUCUAAUACCGGCUAGGACCACUGCAUGCAUGGUGGGUGGUGGAAAGCUUUUGCGGUGUGGGAUGGGCCCGCGGCCUAUCAGGUUUUUGGUGGGGUGAUGGCCUACCAAGGCGACGACGGGUAGCCGGCCUGAGAGGGUGACCGGCCACACUGGGACUGAGAUACGGCCCAGACUCCUACGGGAGGCAGCAGUAGGGAAUAUUGCACAAUGGGCGCAAGCCUGAUGCAGCGAGGCCGCGUGAGGGAUGACGGCCUUCGGGUUGUAAACCUCUUUCAGCACCGACGAAGCGCAAGUGACGGUAGGUGCAGAAGAAGGACCGGCCAACUACGUGCCAGCAGCCGCGGUAA
rnacentral:rRNA from 1 species